GACAGAGGUGCCGAGCGUUAGGCGGAAUCACUGGGCUUAAAGCGUGUGUAGGUGGAUGCCUAAGUACCUUGUGAAAUCCCACGGCUUAACCGUGGAACUGCUUGGUAUACUGGGUGUCUUGAGCCAGCUAGGGGCUACCGGAACAAAUGGUGGAGCGGUGAAAUGCGUAGAUAUCAUUUGGAACGCCAACGGUGAAAACAGGUAGCUGGGGCUGUGCUGACACUGAGACACGAAAGCCAGGGGAGCGAACGGG
rnacentral:rRNA from 1 species